CCCGCAUCUAAGGGUCACGAUGGGAGCAACCAGUGCUGCUUUCCUGGCUUGUCAGAAACAAUUUAAGGGUUAAUACUGAUCAUCCUUGAAAGGCCUGAUCCUCAAACCUGCCAGCUCACCGGGAUCUGAAACUCCACCCUCGGCUCCCCGGUGGCUGGUGACUCGCCGAGCUGGUACCCACCUGGCUGAAGGAGUCCAGGCUGACCCCGUUGUCCAGGAGAAAACGCCGUACUUCUUGAACGAGCUGGGUCUCCCCUAGGGCCACACGCACGGCCACGCUGCCCUUGGUCUCCUGCGGGAGAGGGGAAAGGAAGAGGCCGUCAGCCGGUGGGCAAGGGACAAGUCAGCCGUCCUGUCUCCCAACAGCCUGAAGAGGCGGCCGGAUGGGACUGGGCCCCCCCCCGCCGACGCCCCUCACAUACCCACAGCGAUUUGUGCCUCUGGCUUCUGUGCCUUUCACAGUAAAUCAAGGACCCUGCGCCCACCUCUCUGGCUUCAUGCCUCACCCUCCACUGUGGCCGUGCAGGCCGACCUUACCCCCACCUCGGGGUUCCCGCACUUGCUGACCUCUGCCUGCACGGCGCUUACCCCACAAUCCCUCCUUCCAUCAAACUUCUGCUGAGAUGUCACUUUGGUGACCAGCCUACCCUCGCUCGCACACCCUCUCCCCUACUCGGCUUAACUUCUUCAUAGCCAUCACGGACAGGCUGCGCCUGUUUGUCAGAGUCUUCCUCCUCCGGAAGGCUCUGGAAGAACAGGACUCUCUGCGUGGGGUGCCUGUGGAAUCUGAACGGGCCGUGCGCGUCCUACGCCCCACACGGUGGCCCCGAGCCCCAUCCAGCCACUGAACACUUGCAGUGUGGCACGUGCGAAUCAAGAAGCACUCUGAGCAAAAAAAAACACGUGCUGGGUUUCGAACGCAAAAUAUCUUGUUGUCUUUUAUACUGUGUAGGAGGUUGAAAUGACAUCGGGGCUACGCUUCGGCUCCACUGAACUAAAUGAAACAGAUUACGAGCA